GUGCCAGCAAAAGCGGUAAUACGUAGGUGGCAAGCGUUGUCCGGAAUUAUUGGGCGUAAAGCGCGCGCAGGCGGUCCUUUAAGUCUGAUGUGAAAUCCCACGGCUCAACCGUGGAAGGUCAUUGGAAACUGGGGGACUUGAGUACAGAAGAGAAAAGCGGAAUUCCAAGUGUAGCGGUGAAAUGCGUAGAGAUUUGGAGGAACACCAGUGGCGAAGGCGGCUUUCUGGUCUGUAACUGACGCUGAGGCGCGAAAGCGUUGGGAGCAAACAGGAUUAGAUACCCUGGUAGUCC
rnacentral:rRNA from 1 species